rnacentral:misc_RNA from 1 species
UAAAAAAAAAAAAAAAAAAUCUGAAGCACCCGGCCCUUAACCUUCUCUAAUUUUUAAUUUAAAAGGAUUAAAAUGUGGAACAACAAAAAAAUUAGUCCUCACUAUAUAUUCAUUUCUCAAAUUUUUUUUUUUCUGUUUUUCCACUUUAUUGGUAUUGAUAUGGACAAGAAGCUUAUCUUCGCUCUGGGCCUUCUCUGUCGCGAAUAGGAUCCCUUCCUUUGUACACGUAAAAGGACAAUAUUAACCUCACCAAAUAAAGGAAAAUAUCAGAUUACGAAAAAAAAAAAAAAAAACUAUUUUUUUUUUUAAUGA